UCUGACGACCAUAGUGAAGUGGAACCACCCCUUCCCAUCCCGAACAGGAACGUGAAACGCUUUUGCGCCGAUGAUAGUGGGCUUCUCGCCCGUGAAAGUAGGACAUCGUCAGAC
rnacentral:rRNA from 1 species